AUUUCAUUUACUACAUCAAGUGUAGUAUCUGUUCUUAUCAGUUUAAUAUCUGAUACGUCCCCUACCCGGGGACCAUAUAUUAAAUUGAUUUUUGGAUUUUGGGGGCAGUCGUGGAUCAGCGGUUAGGGUGUCGGACCCGUAACCGGUGGAUCGCUGGUUCGAUUCCCUGUCCCGGUGUCCAUGGCUGAGGUACCCUU